GAAAUGCGAUAAGUAGUGUGAAUUGCAGAAUUCAGUGAAUCAUCGAAUCUUUGAACGCACAUUGCGCCCCUUGGUAUUCCAUGGGGCAUGCCUGUUCGAGCGUCAUUUGUACCCUCAAGCUCUGCUUGGUGUUGGGUGUUUGUCCCCGUCUCCGCGCGUGGACUCGCCCCAAAGUGAUUGGCAGCCGGCGUACUGGUCCCGGAGCGCAGCACAUGUCGCGCAAACGAGCGCCUUGGUACGGCGGCGUCCAUAAGCCCCUCUCUCACGCUCUUGACCUCGGAUCAGGUAGGGAUACCCGCUGAACUUAAGC
rnacentral:misc_RNA from 1 species